AUACGGAGGGUGCAAACGUUAUUCGGAAUCACUGGGCGUAAAGGACGCGUAGGCGGGUUGGCAAGUCAGAUGUGAAAUCCUACAGCUUAACUGUAGAACUGCAUUUGAAACUGCUAACCUAGAGUAUGGGAGGGGGAGAUGGAAUUAGUGGUGUAGGGGUAAAAUCCGUAGAUAUCACUAGGAAUACCGAAAGCGAAGGCGAUCUCCUGGAACAUAACUGACGCUAAGGCGUGAAAGCGUGGGGAGCAAACAGGAUUAGAAACCCUAGUAGUCC
rnacentral:rRNA from 1 species